rnacentral:lncRNA from 1 species
CCUUAUAUUAUUGAAAGAAGGGGGUAUUGUUUGCAGGAUGGGAUAUUGGUUUUUUCAACAUAUCCAUACAAUCUAUAGAAACAAAAGACGUUAUUUAUUUAUUUUCUUUGUUUUUUCAUGUCUAUGUGCACUCUCGAUGGCUUGAGUUUGAGUAGUUCCAUAAUCAACGAGAUAUUAAUUACCCUUUUUUCAUCUGUGAUUUUCUCUCUUCUGGAUUGAUUUGUCAUUAUUUUCUUUCCAUGCCAUUGGAGCAUAUAUCUUGUCAGUCAUACCAUGUUUAAUAUACACUGCAUUAGAACAUUUAUCAUUAUUACUACCUCUGUUUCUACAUACAAUAUGUUCUAGCUUUUUUUCCAAGUCAAACUUUUAAAAUUUUGACCACUUUAUAGAAAAAUGUAUUUGGAGCACUCCAUGAACAAAUCAUGAGUCUUGGUAAUCACUUCUCUAGAUCUAGUUUUUCUUCACAACCGUCGCUUCACUGUUUAUCACUUCAUCCGGAGGUGGAGCCAGGCCUCAGGCAACAAGGCCCAUGACCUAGGGCU